CUGACUAAAUCUCUAGCUGACUAAAUCUCUAGCUGACUAAAUCUCUAGCUGACUAAAUCUAGCUGACUAAAUCUCUAGCUGACUAAAUCUCUAGCUGACUAAAUCUCUAGCUGACUAAAUCUCUAGAUAACUAAAUCUCUAGCUGACUAAAUCUCUAGCUGACUAAAUAUCUAGAUAACUAAAUCUCUAGCUGACUAAAUCUCUAGCUAACUAAAUCUUGCAUUGUAGUGGACACCUCUGAUGGUUCCUUUAAGGAACAAAGUAGCAACAGGCAAAUUUGAUAUCCGUCUAUGAAUUUGAGUGUUCACCUAAAAACUGGUGGUUGUCUGAACUGCAGAUUGUCCAUUUCCUACACAAAGAGUAGCAACAUUACCUGUUAGGUUCAGACAACAGCCACAUUAUAUCAUUACUGUGACAUUGGACUGAGCAGGAUCAGGAGAACCAGUUAGAGUUGGUCCACAGGGGAUCUUGGGUGUAUCUCAAUAAUCUCUUAGUCCCCUCUCUGUGUCCUCAUUUACUUUCUUUGUUCCUUUGUCUUGUUUUCAUUCUUUGUGGUUGUUUUUGACAUGCCUCAGCAGAUUAGUCUUCUGAAUGAAUCUUUUACCACAGACGGAGCAGCCAUGUUGUUUCUCUCCUGUGUGAGUCAGUUUGUGCUUAGUUAGGUUCCUAUUGACACUGAAGCUUUUCCCACAGUCACCACAGCUAUAUGGCUUCUCUCCUGUGUGAGUACGUAUAUGUUCAAUUAGUGUCUUCUUGACACUAAAGCUUUUUCCACAAUCACCACAGCUAAAAGGUUUCUCUCCUGUGUGAGUCCGUAUGUGUUCAGUUAGUGUCUUCUUGAGAUUGAAGCUUUUCCCGCAGUCGCCACAGCUAAAAGGUUUCUCUCCUGUGUGAAUCAGUUUGUGCCUGGUUAGAUGCUGCUUGAGACUGAAUCUUUUCCCACAAUCACCACAGCUAAAUGGAUUUUCCCCUGUGUGAAUCAGUUUGUGCCUGGUUAGAUGCCCCUUCAGACGGAAGCUCUUCCCACAGUCACCACAACUAAAUGGUUUCUCUCCUGUGUGAAUCCUCAUGUGCCUGGACAGAUGUCCUUUUUGUUUGAAGGUCUUUCCACAAACAGGGCAGACACAGGGUUUCCCACUGUGACAGAGUCGGACAUGGGCCUUCAGUUUACAGGUGGAGCUGAAGCUUUUCUUACAGAACCGACAUUCACUGGGUCUGUUCUUGGUGAGAGUCACAUGUCUCUUCAGGUCAGCUUUUUUAGCAAACGUUUCACCACAGUCACGGCAGCUGGGAGUUUUUCUAGAUGUGGUGCUGGGUUUGGAACAGUGUUUUUCAAAUGGUGGACGAGGAUCCAAUGGUGGACUGUAGUCAAGUCCUACUGUGUAGCUGCUUACGGCUGAGCUGUGUCUGGAGGCAACGUUUUGAUUAUCUGGAGGGUCACAGGGAAUGUUGAGACCCUUAAUGUGGGUCACAGUUCCAAAGGGUGUGAGAUCCACUGGUUUAGAGUCACUCUCUCUGUUCUCCACAGUCUGGGUUUGGUCCUCCAGAUCACAUUCACUUUUCACACAGGAAGGAGUGAAUAUGAACUUCAUGAUAUCAGGCUCUAGACCUUGAAGCUGCUCUUCCUCCUGACUGGUCCUGACUUCCUCCUGUUCCUCUUUAA
rnacentral:lncRNA from 13 species